rnacentral:rRNA from 1 species
AUUGAACGCUGGCGGCAUGCCUUACACAUGCAAGUCGAACGGUAACGCGGGGCAACCUGGCGACGAGUGGCGAACGGGUGCGUAAUAUAUCGGAACGUGCCCAGUAGUGGGGGAUAGCCCGGCGCAAGCCGGAUUAAUACCGCAUACGACCUACGGGUGAAAGGGGGGGAUCGCAAGACCUAUCGCUAUUGGAGCGGCCGAUGUCGGAUUAGGUAGUUGGUGGGGUAAAAGCCCACCAAGCCAACGAUCUGUAGCUGGUCUGAGAGGACGACCAGCCACACUGGGACUGAGACACGGCCCAGACUCCUACGGGAGGCAGCAGUGGGGAAUUUUGGACAAUGGGCGAAAGCCUGAUCCAGCAAUGCCGCGUGCGGGAAGAAGGCCUUCGGGUUGUAAACCGCUUUUGUCAGGGAAGAAAUCCUUUGAGCUAAUACCUCGGGGGGAUGACGGUACCUGAAGAAUAAGCACCGGCUAACUACGUGCCAGCCGCCGCUGUAA